CAGUAUGUUUGGAUGGAACAUUGCCAGCCUAUCACUUUCAUCCUGGAUCCGGAUCAGGAGCCAAUAGUUGGCUCAUUGACUUAGAGGCUGUGCAUUCAAGCUAGUAGUAAGUUGAUUUUCAUGUCUUAUACCAUAAACUUAUUUACUUUUUGACUGGUUACAAACUGAUUUGGAAGAGAAAAAGGCACAUGAAA